UAAUUACAUCUUCCAAAUUCCAAAACUCAAUCUAAUUCUCUUAUGAACUAAUGAUAUUAAAAUUACCCUUCAUCCAAACACACAUUCACUCAUUACAAGUACUCGUAUUUAUUUUUUACAAGUGAUAUAUAAUAUAUUUGGAAAUCGAAGUUGAAAAAGUCAAAUAUAUAAUACUAGUAAAAAAACACAAAUGUACACCGACAAAUGGGCGCCGAUUUUUAAAAACUGGUGCCUAAAACACGAGUCCAUACCCAAACAAAAUAAAAAUCAGCUUACGUGCACCGGUUAACCGAUGCCUUUAUCCCAACAAUCCUUCGUCCGGUGCCUUAAUCCCAAAAAAUAAAAAUAAAAAAACCAAACACCCUCUCUCUCUCUCCCCCCUCCACCUUCGAACCUUCCACCGGCGCCGGCCCACUCUCUUCUCAACCUCUAUCUCUCUAUUUCUUCUCUCCUUUCAUUCACCCUCUACAUCCACUCUCCUCUCAGCUCUCUUUUUCUCUAUUUCUUCUCUCCUCAUUCACUAUUGGCGGCGACGGUGAAGGUUAUGGCGUCCAUCGUAAUUGAGGGUCUAUUUCCUUACUAGUGCAGGAUCUUUGAAGUGGUGGUGGAUGUCUUCAUGAAGGUAUGUUGCUCUUCAAUUUGAAAUCUAGGGUUUUUUAUUUUUAUCAAUUUGAAGGUCUAUUUUUGCCUUUAAAUACAAUUUUUUGUGAUUGGAGCUUUGAUUACUAGUAAAAAUGGCAAUUUGGUACAAUUGGCAAAGGAGGUGAUUACUGCUGCUCGUAAAUUGAGGGAAGUUUUGUAUGCUGGAGAGAAUUUGGGGAAUUUUGAUGUAAUUGGCGGUGUUUCGGGUUCGAGUGGCGAUGAAAUUAUGGAAUUUGAUGAAUGUAGAGGUUGUGGAGUGUGUGUUGUAUGAAGAGAAGCAGGAGAUUAUCAUUGGGAGAUAGGGUGUUUGUUGAAAUGUGAACUUCCUAUUAAAUUACCUGUUUAUAACGAUUCAGCUCAGGCUCAGCAGCUGUGCAGGAUACUGAUCAUUGAGUAGUCUUGGACAGUUGUGAAUUAUUAUGGACUUCAAUGAUAAGUACAGGAUACCAAUGCUGCAUUCCAAGCUCUCACUCCCUUAAUCCCUUUCCCCUCCUAAAAUUAUUACUGACUUAUCUGACAUGUAUAGAUUUGUUUUCACAGAUUGCUCCGUCUUAGAUUUUUAUAUACUGGUAUGUAUGAAAAGGCUAGAAGUUAAAGAGUAGAACUCAUAUAACUUCAACUCUGUCAUGAAAGAAUACAAAGCUAUACAUGAUUCAUUCCAGACUCCUGACUAUUAUGCACGGGAAUGUCUGCUUAAGGAAUGUUGGGUUUCUAAGAAGGAGCACAUUAAAAAGAUGGAGGUUACGGAAAUGCAAAUGUUAAGGUGGAUGUGCGGAAACACUCUAAGAGAUAGAAUCAGAAAUGAAGUUAUUCGCAAGAAAGUAGGUGUGGCAGGCAUUGCAGACAAACUAAGGGAAAAAUCGCCUACGUUGGUUUAGGCAUGUAAGACGGAGACCCGAGGGUGCACUGGUUCGACGAGUGGAAAAAUGGGACCAUUGAGGGGUUAAACGAGGGAGAGGGAGACCGAAAAUAACUUGAGUGGAAGGAGUUAGGAAGGAUAUGAAGUAUAUGGAUUUGCAUGAGGAUGAAGCAUUGGAUCGUAAGGGAUGGAAGGAUGAUUUUGUAGAUGACUACACGGAAUAAUCAAAUUUGGUUCAUGUAGUCGACCCCAUUUAUGGGAUUAAGGCUUUGAUUGAUUGAUUGAGGAAGCUGUUCUCCUAUUUUGGUCAUUGUAAUUUUUCAUUUUUUUGUUUUUUAUGAAAAGUGUAAAACUACAAGUUAUUAAUAAAAAAGAUAUGUGUUUUAGGUAUAAUAUGAUUA